AUGAACGCUAGCUACAGGCUUAACACAUGCAAGUCGAGGGGCAGCGUUUUAGUUUGCUUGCAAACUGAAGAUGGCGACCGGCGCACGGGUGAGUAACACGUAUCCAACCUGCCGAUAACUCCGGAAUAGCCUUUCGAAAGAAAGAUUAAUACCGGAUGGCAUACGAAUAUCGCAUGAUAUUUUUAUUAAAGAAUUUCGGUUAUCGAUGGGGAUGCGUUCCAUUAGUUUGUUGGCGGGGUAACGGCCCACCAAGACUACGAUGGAUAGGGGUUCUGAGAGGAAGGUCCCCCACAUUGGAACUGAGACACGGUCCAAACUCCUACGGGAGGCAGCAGUGAGGAAUAUUGGUCAAUGGGCGAGAGCCUGAACCAGCCAAGUAGCGUGAAGGAUGAAGGCUCUAUGGGUCGUAAACUUCUUUUAUAUGGGAAUAAAGUUUUCCACGUGUGGAAUUUUGUAUGUACCAUAUGAAUAAGGAUCGGCUAACUCCGUGCCAGCAGCCGCGGUAAUACGGAGGAUCCGAGCGUUAUCCGGAUUUAUUGGGUUUAAAGGGAGCGUAGGUGGAUUGUUAAGUCAGUUGUGAAAGUUUGCGGCUCAACCGUAAAAUUGCAGUUGAAACUGGGAGUCUUGAGUACAGUAGAGGUGGGCGGAAUUCGUGGUGUAGCGGUGAAAUGCUUAGAUAUCACGAAGAACUCCGAUUGCGAAGGCAGCUCACUAGACUGUCACUGACACUGAUGCUCGAAAGUGUGGGUAUCAAACAGGAUUAGAUACCCUGGUAGUCCACACAGUAAACGAUGAAUACUCGCUGUUUGCGAUAUACAGUAAGCGGCCAAGCGAAAGCAUUAAGUAUUCCACCUGGGGAGUACGCCGGCAACGGUGAAACUCAAAGGAAUUGACGGGGGCCCGCACAAGCGGAGGAACAUGUGGUUUAAUUCGAUGAUACGCGAGGAACCUUACCCGGGCUUAAAUUGCAACAGAAUAUAUUGGAAACAGUAUAGCCGUAAGGCUGUUGUGAAGGUGCUGCAUGGUUGUCGUCAGCUCGUGCCGUGAGGUGUCGGCUUAAGUGCCAUAACGAGCGCAACCCUUAUCUUUAGUUACUAACAGGUUAUGCUGAGGACUCUAGAGAGACUGCCGUCGUAAGAUGUGAGGAAGGUGGGGAUGACGUCAAAUCAGCACGGCCCUUACGUCCGGGGCUACACACGUGUUACAAUGGGGGGUACAGAAGGCGGCUACCUGGUGACAGGAUGCUAAUCCCAAAAACCUCUCUCAGUUCGGAUCGAAGUCUGCAACCCGACUUCGUGAAGCUGGAUUCGCUAGUAAUCGCGCAUCAGCCAUGGCGCGGUGAAUACGUUCCCGGGCCUUGUACACACCGCCCGUCAAGCCAUGAAAGCCGGGGGUACCUGAAGUACGUAACCGCAAGGAGCGUCCUAGGGUAAAACUGGUAAUUGGGGCU
rnacentral:rRNA from 1 species